CAACAGCUACAUCUUUGAUUUGACCCCUAGCCUGGGGGCUCCCAAAUGCAGCAGCUAUGGCCCUAAAAGAAAAAAUGUAUAUAUAGUAUUUACUUAUGUGUAGAGAAUGCUUCACAAAUAGUAGGGGCUCAACCAGUGUUAACCAAAGAAACAUACAUUUGCUUUGAUUAAAAUCUGAUUUAAAGGGACCAUAGUACUUUGAUCUCAACAUUGGUGAUUCAGAUUUGUUAAAUUAAAAUUUGCUUUUUUUUUUUUCCCACUUAGGCUUCAUGAAGAUGGAGAUAUGGGAAAAAACAGUGAGCUGGCACCUCACUCACUUGUAAUGAUUCAAACAGAGAAUGUCAGAGGAAAAGAAAUACUGUUUCCACUCUCACUUGUAAGUGAAGAUACUAUUUCCAUGAAGGAACAAUUACGUGCGUGGAUAAACUAACACACAAGGCUUCUACGACAGUGUCAUAUAAACUGGAAAAUCAUUAUAACUAGAAAAAUUUCUUCAACAGAAGUGUCUUUGGACUUCUCCUGUGACAUGAGGACAGACUCAAAAGACACAAAAUCACAAAGUCAGAUACUGAAAAACUUCAGUGAAAAUGAACAUCUUUGAUAUCUCAUAAACACAUGAUACGAAUGAAUGAAGCAAGGCAAUUACUGAAGUGCUUCCUGAAUAUGUUGAUGCCUUUUGAGGAUACUUGACCAAUGAGAUGGUUGAAAGUGUUUGCUACAGUUACUGCUUGUGAAAGACAACUAGAAAUAGAAUUUGCCAUGAAAUUUAAAACUUCACAAACCUCACGGUGCUUCUUUUGAAGAAAAAUGUAGAGUUGGUAGUCGGUAUGAAAUUCUGAUGUGAACUCUUCCUUAGAACUUUACAGGAUAAGAGGAAAUGUGUGAAAUGGAGAUUGAACAAUCUUGUCUUGAAGCAGAAGACUCAAAUGGAAGCUCCUGGCAUUCCUCAAUAAAAUUCAAAUGAUAUUGAAAAAUUAAUGUGGUCCCUUUGGCUUCUCUUUGGUCUGGGUCAAGGAUUCAGCCCCUGCAGCCACUGUGUUUAGGGGGCGGGGUCCAGGAUUUGGCUGGAAGGGCUGGUGGGGAUUGGGCAAAUAAUUUAC